UUAGGUUUUCAACAGCGUGCAUGCAUAGGUAACCAUACACUUGGAUCAUAUUCACGCAGCAGUUCCUGCCACCACGAAGACCCACGUCUCACGACCUUACACAGUUUUUGUAUUUGUGCAAUUGCUCAUCACCGCACAACCACCCAACAGUUACUCCUUCCCGUCACUCUAUUGAAGUAUAUAAACAGUUAUUGUAAAUAAUUAAGUCUUACAAAACCUUUAAUUGUAAAUUUACUUUAUUGCAAGUGUGCUGCACGUGUAUUUCAUUCCUUGUAUAUAUAGUUGGACUACUCUGUACAUUACUACUUGUGCAUUUUACUUUUACAGAAGAUUAGUUUUUCUCUCCAUCUGUGUUCUUGAGCUUUUCUUGAGUUUCUUGAACUUCUUGGGUGAUCGGAUGAUUCCAGAUUGAUUCUCCUAGACACUUGCUCCUAAUUUUUUAUUUUUCUUUCCCACUUGUCCGCUCCUCCCCACGUGCAAGAAGUUCCCUGCAUCAAGCGCGGCAAGUGCAUGGUAACCGCUGCCCCGUUGCACAUAACCACCUUCCUCCUUUUUCAUUAUCCCUUUCCCGUGCGCUCCUUCGAUGCCAGGCAUUUCGGUUUCUCAAUACACUUCACCUUGUAGAUGCUCUCUCUCCCUCGCUCUCUUUCAUCUGUGAUUUCUAGGACCAAACUGAGAGCUACUGCCGCCCAAAGCCACCAUACGUGAAUUCCUUCAAGCACGGCAACUCCAACCUCCUCGCAAGGCGCUGCUUCACAUCGGAGACUCCAUGACAACAGGCCAGCCCUUUCCGUCGUCACAACCAUGCAGCGAGAACCACCACCAAAACUCCGUCGUGCACAACCCAACCCAGCCUCUGUUUUCUUACACCUGAAACAGAGCACCCCAAAGCCAUCCACCGCCCUCCCCUCUCAAAAAUCUCUCAUCAGUUCAGUUAUUUUCUCAUGGCGUUCUCUUCCCCGAAUCCUAUUCCUUCCACACGCACUUUCGGUUUCCUCACCUUCAAGAGUUUUUUUUUUUUUCCUUUCCUCUCAACAGACCCUCUUGCGCCUCACUUGUACUAGUGAAAUUGGUGCUGGGAUUUUUGGUAGGAUUUCGGAUUUUGAGUUGCUGAGUUGAACCCAAGGUAAGCACUAGUUUCCUCUUUCACUCUCUCUCCCUCUCUUUUUCUCGCGUUCCCUCAAAAAUUUGGAUCUCUCUUUUCUUUCUGUGUUUUACCCAACCGGAUUCGUCUCAGUUGGUGGGUAUUGCAGCAGUUUUUGGGUUACUCCCGUACCUCUAGUUAAAGUCGACAACAGUGCAUCGUUGCCGUCCAACGAUAGCUUUGAAUUUUCUCUUCCUCCUCGCGCCGGUUAGCAUCCCUCACCGUUAAUCCCAUUGUUUUAUUUCCCUGUCGCUUCCCCUUUUGAUUUCUCUCAAGUUAUUUUCUCCACCUCCCUCCCGGCAUCAGACCCAUUUAUUCAUCUAGUUUUAAUUUCUUUACUGCAACCUACAGAUUCCUAUCCUUUAAAGCCUAAACUUGCCAACACGUGCUUGGGACCACAUUAGACAUGAUUCCUUCUCUCAGUUCAGGGUUGUUUUUCAUUGCAAAUGUCGCAGCUUCUGUAAGUAGUAAUACUUGACAAGACCAAACUUUUGAGCUAAAUUACCUUAGGGCCAUUUCUUUUCCCUCCAGAUAAUACUUUAUUAUUCUCAAGUUGAAGUUGACUUAGCUUUUUCAUGAAAAGUGUCAUGCAAUCACUGAUGAAAUCUAUAUAAAAAGGAAAGAAAUAUAUUUUGACAUGAAUAGUAUAAAUAUGAACAAUAUUUAACAUGUUUUGAAAUGUAAGAAAGAGUGGAUAUGAAAUUUGAGAUUUUUAUUCAUGUGAUAUGAAAUCUUUUGCAUCUAUUAUUGAUCAUUUAAAAAUAAUAUGAACAUAUUCCGCAUGUGAUUUGAUAUAACAAGAAUAUGAAAAAUCUUUAGCAUAUUUAUAAUAUGUUAUUAUUCUGAUUCUGAAUAUGGUUCUGAUACGAUGAUAUUGGUACCAACAUAAUAUAAUAUGAUAUGAGUGUACCUAUUUUGAAAACAAAGUGAUUUUUUAUGUGUUCUUUUAUGGUAGUACACAAACACCUUGUCUUAAAAAAAGCACUGAAGUGGUAGAUAUAACAUACCAGCAGAAGCGACUCUAAGAGCAUGCCGGAAAUGAAGAGACAAUUGCUCCAUUAAUGGAGGCACAGAGAAGACAACAUAUCACGAGUACUACCGGGAAGAAGAAGAAGAAAGGCCAGGGUCUGGGAACCGCGCUAACUGUUACGAGUGGAAAAGGCAUUUGCGAUUCUUGCUGUUGGGCGUCGAGAGUCGCAACUGUUUGCGUUUUAAUUAUUGGUAUAUAGCAGAUGAUCAUUAAUUAGAAAGAGCAUGCAUCUCAUAUAGAUACUGUUGAUAUACAGAUGCAUUUUCGACAGAGAAUGUUGCUUCAGAAAACACGCUGUUUCGAGGAAUUUUUUGAAGUCUGAUUUAGUAAUAUAAUAGAUCUGGUCCAAGUAUUACA